UGCCAGCCGCCGCGGUAAUACUGAAGGUGCAAGCGUUAAUCGGAAUCACUGGGCGUAAAGCGCUCGUAGGUGGCUUUGUAAGUCAGAUGUGAAAGCCCACGGCUCAACCGUGGAAUUGCAUUUGAUACUGCAUCGCUAGAGUAUAGGAGAGGAAGGUAGAAUUCACAGUGUAGCGGUGGAAUGCGUAGAUAUUGUGAAGAAUACCAAUGGCGAAGGCAGCCUCCUGGAUCUGUACUGACACUGAGGUGCGAAAGCGUGGGUAGCGAACAGGAUUAGAUA
rnacentral:rRNA from 1 species